AUUGAACGCUGGCGGCAUGCCUUACACAUGCAAGUCGAACGGUAACAGGUCUUCGGACGCUGACGAGUGGCGAACGGGUGAGUAAUACAUCGGAACGUGCCCAGUCGGGGGGGAUAACUACUCGAAAGAGUGGCUAAUACCGCAUACGAUCUGAGGAUGAAAGCGGGGGACCUUCGGGCCUCGCGCGAUUGGAGCGGCCGGUGGCAGAUUAGGUAGUGGGUGGGAUAAAAGCUUACCAAGCCGACGAUCUGUAGCUGGUCUGAGAGGACGACCAGCCACACUGGGACUGAGACACGGCCCAGACUCCUACGGGAGGCAGCAGUGGGGAAUUUUGGACAAUGGGCGAAAGCCUGAUCCAGCAAUGCCGCGUGCAGGAUGAAGGCCUUCGGGUUGUAAACUGCUUUUGUACGGAACGAAAAAGCUUCUCCUAAUACGAGAGGCCCAUGACGGUACCGUAAGAAUAAGCACCGGCUAACUACGUGCCAGCAGCCGCGGUAAAAC
rnacentral:rRNA from 1 species